rnacentral:hammerhead_ribozyme from 1 species
AUCCAUCUGACGAGUCCCAAAUAGGACGAAAUGCGCAUCCUAAAU